UUUUUUUUCUUUUCUCCCCCCGGGGGAUACCAACAUAAGCGGAGGAAAAGAAACCAACAGGGAUUGCCCCAGUAACGGCGAGUGAAGCGGCAAGAGCUCAAAUUUGAAAGCUGGCUCCUUCGGGGUCCGCAUUGUAAUUUGCAGAGGAUGCUUCGGGAGCGGUCCCCAUCUAAGUGCCCUGGAACGGGACGUCAUAGAGGGUGAGAAUCCCGUAUGGGAUGGGGUGUCCGCGCCCGUGUGAAGCUCCUUCGACGAGUCGAGUUGUUUGGGAAUGCAGCUCUAAAUGGGUGGUAAAUUUCAUCUAAAGCUAAAUAUUGGCCGGAGACCGAUAGCGCACAAGUAGAGUGAUCGAAAGAUGAAAAGCACUUUGAAAAGAGAGUUAAAAAGCACGUGAAAUUGUUGAAAGGGAAGCGCUUGCGACCAGACUCGCUCGCGGGGUUCAGCCGGCAUUCGUGCCGGUGUAUUUCCCCGCGGGCGGGCCAGCGUCGGUUUGGGCGGUCGGUCAAAGGCCCUCGGAAGGUAACGCCCCUAGGGGCGUCUUAUAGCCGAGGGUGCAAUGCGACCUGCCUAGACCGAGGAACGCGCUUCGGCUCGGACGCUGGCAUAAUGGUCGUAAGCGACCCGUCUUGAAACACGGACCAAGGAGUCUAACAUCUACGCGAGUGUUCGGGUGUCAAACCCGUGCGCGAAGUGAAAGCGAACGGAGGUGGGAACCCUUACGGGUGCACCAUCGACCGAUCCUGAAGUCUUCGGAUGGAUUUGAGUAAGAGCGUAGCUGUUGGGACCCGAAAGAUGGUGAACUAUGCCUGAAUAGGGCGAAGCCAGAGGAAACUCUGGUGGAGGCUCGUAGCGGUUCUGACGUGCAAAUCGAUCGUCGAAUUUGGGUAUAGGGCGAAAGACUAAUCGAUCAUCUAAAAAAAAAAAAGGGC
rnacentral:rRNA from 1 species